UACGUAGGGUGCAAGCGUUGUCCGGAAUUAUUGGGCGUAAAGAGCUCGUAGGUGGCCUGUCGCGUCGGCUGUGAAAACUCGGGGCUCAACUCCGAGCUUGCAGUCGAUACGGGCAGGCUAGAGUUCGGCAGGGGAGACUGGAAUUCCUGGUGUAGCGGUGAAAUGCGCAGAUAUCUGGAGGAACACCGGUGGCGAAGGCGGCAUCCUGGACCGGCAUUGACGCUGAGGAGCGAAAGCCAGGGGAGCAAAGCGGG
rnacentral:rRNA from 1 species